UACCUAUGAUAUGGAUUAAGUUCAUUCGGAUAUUAUAUCAUACACCUAGAACAUUUUCUGUCCGAAAUUCUGCCACGGAGAAAUACCGAAUAAAUUAGAUAUUUACUGGAAAUUUCGUUUUACUGUACAACUUGUAUAUUAUUAUCGAUACCUACUAUAAAUAUAUUUACUACUUAUUGCAAGACAUUUUAAUUAACAAUACGGGUGAGACAGUUUUCUUCCACUGUCCACCUCAUCAAAAAUGUACUUUUCCUUUCGAGACAUUUCUUAAUUCAUUCUCAAAUUA